rnacentral:rRNA from 1 species
GGUCAAGUUAUUAAGGGUGCAGGGCGGAUGCCUUGGCACUAGGAGCCGAUGAAGGACGUGAUAAGCUGCGAUAAGCUUCGGGGAGUUGCACGUAAACUUUGAUCCGAAGAUUUCCGAAUGAGGAAACUCACUUAGAGUAAUGUCUAAGUAUCAUUAAGUGAAUACAUAGCUUAAUGAGGGGAACUCAGGGAACUGAAACA